UAAUUAUUGACAGUGAGGAUGAAAAACCCUCUCCCCAACUUGGCCCUACACUGUCACAGGCGGUGGCGGAGGAGGAGGACCAGGACUCUACCUCUAUGUCCAUCACCUCACUGCACCCAUUAAGCCCUACACUGGAACAGGCCACGGAGGAGGAGGAGGAGGAUGAUGAUGAUGCUGCUGCAUUUAGUG